AGAGUUUGAUCAUGGCUCAGGAUGAACGCUAGCGGCGUGCUUAACACAUGCAAGUCGAACGAGAGAAGAUUAGUGCUUGCGCUGAUCCGAUCGAGUGGCGGACGGGUGAGUAACGCGUGGGUAACCUGCCUCAUACAGGGGAAUAACAGUUGGAAACGGCUGCUAAAACCGCAUAAGCGCACAGUAUCGCAUGAUACAGUGUGAAAAACUCCGGUGGUAUGAGAUGGACCCGCGUCUGAUUAGCUAGUGUGAGGUACGCCACAAGGCAACGAUCAGUAGCCGGCCUGAGAGGGUGACGGCCACAUUGGGACUGAGACACGGCCCAAACUCCUACGGGAGGCCA
rnacentral:rRNA from 1 species